rnacentral:rRNA from 1 species
UACGGGGGGAGCAAGCGUUGUUCGGAUUUACUGGGCGUAAAGGGCGCGUAGGCGGCCACCGCAAGUCGGUUGUGAAAUCUCUGGGCUUAAUCCAGAAAGGUCAACCGAUACUGCGGGGCUAGAGUGCAGAAGGGGCAACUGGAAUUCUCGGUGUAGCGGUGAAAUGCGUAGAUAUCGUAAGGAAGACCAGUGGCGAAGGCGAGUUCCUGGACAGUUACUGACACUGAGGCACGAAGGCCAGGGGAGCAAACGGG